rnacentral:pre_miRNA from 1 species
AUUAGAUCACUUUAGGAUUUUGUUAAAAUUCAGAUUAUAAUCAAAUAGGAAAGGUAUAAUGUGAGGUAAGACCUGAUAGUGUGCAUUCUGACAAGCUCCCAUGUGAUAUUGCU